rnacentral:sRNA from 1 species
UCGCAGUGGGGUUUAGUCUCUAAAGAGAC